GGCGACGGUUGUCCCGGUUUAAGCAUGUAGGCUGGUUAUCCAGGCAAAUCCGGAUAACCAAGGCUGAGGUGUGAUGACGAGGCACUACGGUGCUGAAGUAACAAAUGCCCUGCUUCCUGGAAAAGCCUCUAAGCAUCAGGUAACAUCAAAUCGUACCCCAAACCGACACAGGUGGUCAGGUAGAGAAUACCAAGGCGCUUGAGAGAACUCGGGUGAUGGAACUAGGCAAAAUGGUGCCGUAACUUCGGGAGAAGGCACGCUGGUGUGUAGGUGAAGUCCCUGC
rnacentral:rRNA from 1 species